GUCACUGGUGCAGUGGCAAACACGUCUGUCUCAUGAACAGUGCGUCCGUGGUUCAAGUCCCGGCAGUGGCG